UAGGGAAUCUUCGGCAAUGGGGGGAACCCUGACCGAGCAACGCCGCGUGAGUGAAGAAGGUUUUCGGAUCGUAAAGCUCUGUUGUUAAGGAAGAACGAGUGUGAGAAUGGAAAGUUCAUGCUGUGACGGUACUUAACCAGAAAGGGACGGCUAACUACGUGCCAGCAGCCGCGGUAAUACGUAGGUCCCGAGCGUUGUCCGGAUUUAUUGGGCGUAAAGCGAGCGCAGGCGGUUAGAAAAGUCUGAAGUGAAAGGCAGUGGCUCAACCAUUGUACGCUUUGGAAACUGUUUAACUUGAGUGCAGAAGGGGAGAGUGGAAUUCCAUGUGUAGCGGUGAAAUGCGUAGAUAUAUGGAGGAACACCGGUGGCGAAAGCGGCUCUCUGGUCUGUAACUGACGCUGAGGCUCGAAAGCGUGGGGAGCGAACAGG
rnacentral:rRNA from 1 species